rnacentral:lncRNA from 1 species
AGUGGAGGGACAAAUGCAACUUGGCUAGUCACAUCGCAUGCUUUAGCAUGUUUCAAUUUAACCCUGAAAUGGCUGUAAGGGAGGGAAACCUACCAGGAUUAACACAGGAGAAGUUAAUCCUCAGACUCUCCUCAAGCUCUGGCUGGCAUUUGAACCCCGCUGCUUUCACAGCAGCUCUUUUCCCUGAGUCAGGUGCCUAAAGCCAACCCCUUGGGGGCUCUGUCCUUCAGGGACCAGAGCGGCAGCCCCCUCCUCCCCCGACUUCUGCCCGCCGUCUCACCUUCUCUCCACGGAGCUCUCCUUUGUGGCCUUGGGUCCCGAGGGAGAGGAAGAUCCUGAACCUCUGUCCUUGCCUCUCCGAGGUCCCCUGGUCUGGCAGGGGGCUGUGAGUGUCUGGGCUGGAGAAAGACGGAUAGGAAGAGUAGGGUGGCCUUUGAACAGGAAUUGAUUGCAAAACUGGUUUCGGUUAAGUGCUGCAGGAGAGAAAAAGCAAAGCUCUAGGGCUCUUCCAGGAAAUCAUGGGCUCCAGCUGUCACUUUCAGUUUCCUUUUUGCCAGUUUCUCUAAUUGGAUGAACAAGGAGGUGAAAGAGCAGAAUCCAAGUCAGGAGGCCUGAGUCUCUCGUCUCUGUCCUGGCUGUGUUAUAGGAUGGACCUAUAUGGGGUAUGAAAAUAGCUCCUGUGGCUUAGAGCUAUGGUGAGGAGCCCAUGAGCAAGCGAUGGGGCGCCUGUUGAAUAGUGGAUUCACAGUAGCUGUCAUCACUGAUUGUUCUGAAACUGCUUUCCUCCACAGCAUCUUACGUGACGCUGAUGUGGGUAACAACCCUAUGAGGUGCACAGCAUUAAAGGGCUAAUAACUCUGAAUGCAGAAUCCUCUGAAAAUGGAAACUUUAUUUUAUUAUUAUUAUUAUUA